rnacentral:rRNA from 1 species
AAAUUGAAGAGUUUGAUCAUGGCUCAGAUUGAACGCUGGCGGCAGGCCUAACACAUGCAAGUCGAACGGUAACAGGAAGCAGCUUGCUGCUUUGCUGACGAGUGGCGGACGGGUGAGUAAUGUCUGGGAAACUGCCUGAUGGAGGGGGAUAACUACUGGAAACGGUGGCUAAUACCGCAUAACGUCGCAAGACCAAAGAGGGGGACCUUCGGGCCUCUUGCCAUCAGAUGUGCCCAGAUGGGAUUAGCUAGUUGGUGAGGUAACGGCUCACCAAGGCGACGAUCCCUAGCUGGUCUGAGAGGAUGACCAGCCACACUGGAACUGAGACACGGUCCAGACUCCUACGGGAGGCAGCAGUGGGGAAUAUUGCACAAUGGGCGCAAGCCUGAUGCAGCCAUGCCGCGUGUAUGAAGAAGGCCUUAGGGUUGUAAAGUA